CCUACGGGGGGCUGCAGUGAGGAAUAUUGGUCAAUGGGCGGAAGCCUGAACCAGCCAAGUCGCGUGAGGGAUUAAGGCCCUGCGGGUCGUAAACCUCUUUUGCCGGGGAGCAGAGGUCCGGACGUGUCCGGGCCGUGAGAGUACCCGGAGAAAAAGCAUCGGCUAACUCCGUGCCAGCAGCCGCGGUAAUACGGAGGAUGCGAGCGGUAUCCGGAUUUAUUGGGUUUAAAGGGUGCGUAGGCGGGCAUUUAAGCCGGCGGUCAAAUGUCGGGGCUCAACCCCUGCCUGCCGUCGGAUCUGGGUGCCUUGAGUGGGCGAGAAGUAUGCGGAAUGCGUGGUGUAGCGGGGAAAUGCAUAGAUAUCACGCAGAACCCCGAUGGCGAAGGCAGCAUACGGGAGCCCUACUGACGCUGAGGCACGAAAGUGCGGGUAUCGAACAGGAUUAGAGACCCGUGUAGUC
rnacentral:rRNA from 1 species